rnacentral:rRNA from 1 species
UACGUAGGGUGCAAGCGUUACUCGGAAUUACUGGGCGUAAAGCGUGCGCAGGCGGUUUUGUAAGACUGUCGUGAAAUCCCCGGGCUUAACCUGGGAAUGGCGAUGGUGACUGCAAGGCUAGAGUUUGGCAGAGGGGGGUAGAAUUCCACGUGUAGCAGUGAAAUGCGUAGAGAUGUGGAGGAACACCGAUGGCGAAGGCAGCCCCCUGGGUCAAAACUGACGCUCAUGCACGAAAGCGUGGGGAGCAAACAGG